CAGCCGGAUAAUCGCGGGCAAAGAAUUUUGUCUGAGGAAAGUCCGUGCAUCCAAGAACAGGCCUCCGGAGAAACUCCGGGCGGUGCGAGCCGGCGGAUAGUGCCACAGAAAUGUAGACUGCCGAUGGAUUGAAAAAUCACAGGCGAUGGUGCAACGGUGAGUUAAGAGCUUCACCAGUGAUAUCGAAAGGUAUCAGCUAGGUAAACCCAGGUCGGAUGCAAGAUUGAAUUCAAAGGUUUGAGGUUGUUCGCCGACUUUGAAAAAAAUCGCUAGAGACUAUCGGCAACGAUAGUACCAGAUAGAUGAUUAUCUAAAACAGAACACGGCUUACGGGCUGCUUUA
rnacentral:RNase_P_RNA from 1 species